UAUCCUUUGAAACCUGCAGGGU
rnacentral:siRNA from 1 species